UACGUAGGGUGCGAGCGUUGUCCGGAAUCACUGGGCGUAAAGGGCGCGUAGGUGGCCCGUCAAGCGCGCGGUGAAAGCCCGGGGCUCAACCCCGGGUCGGCCGUGCGGACUGGCGGGCUCGAGCACUGUAGGGGCGGGUGGAAUUCCGGGUGUAGCGGUGGAAUGCGUAGAGAUCAGGAGGAAUACCGGUGGCGAAAGCGACUCUCUGGACGGCAACUGACGCUGAGGCACAAAAGCGUGGGGAGCAAACAGG
rnacentral:rRNA from 1 species